UCAUGGAGACUUGAGAUGUGACUAGAUAUUGUUCUCAUCUCUUAUUUCUAGGUUGUGGACAAAGCCACCGAGUUAUACUCUCUGGGAAACACUGAAAGCACAUAAGGAGCUACUCUAGAGCUGAGAGGGCAGAAGUUGUGGACUGAGAACCAAUUAAUUAUUUCCAGAGCAAAGGAGACUUCUCCUAGAGUACCUGCAAAGCUGUGAGUAAAGUCAGAGAACUUUCAAGGUGUCUUCCUAUCUAAAAGUCAGUACUAUAUGUAUCUAU
rnacentral:lncRNA from 1 species